AUCACCGGAGAGUGUCCCUUUCUCUGCAAGGGGCUUGCAGCCUUUCAAUCACAGCUGCAUGCCUAUCUGGUGAUGGAGUGUGAGAGCAAGACCAGCCUUUGGGAUCUGAUACACAGUAAGGAGAAACUCGGGAUGGAGACGGUAAUCUUUUUUUCAGCAGAACUGGUAGUAGGCCUCCAGUUCCUUCACAACAGAGGGAUUGUAC